rnacentral:rRNA from 1 species
CCUACGGGGGGCUGCAGUGGGGAAUAUUGGACAAUGGGGGCAACCCUGAUCCAGCCAUGCCGCGUGUGUGAAGAAGGCCCUCGGGUUGUAAAGCACUUUCAGUGAGGAAGAACGCCUGGUGGUUAAUACCCAUCAGCAAAGACAUCACUCACAGAAGAAGCACCGGCUAACUCCGUGCCAGCAGCCGCGGUAAUACGGAGGGUGCGAGCGUUAAUCGGAAUUACUGGGCGUAAAGCGCGCGUAGGUGGCUUGAUAAGCCGGUUGUGAAAGCCCCGGGCUCAACCUGGGAACGGCAUCCGGAACUGUCAAGCUAGAGUGCAGGAGAGGAAGGUAGAAUUCCCGGUGUAGCGGUGAAAUGCGUAGAGAUCAGGAGGAAUACCAGUGGCGAAGGCGGCCUUCUGGACUGACACUGACACUGAGGUGCGAAAGCGUGGGUAGCAAACAGGAUUAGAUACCCCAGUAGUC